AUUGAACGCUGGCGGCAGGCCUAACACAUGCAAGUCGAGCGAGCGGCGGACGGGUGAGUAAUGUAUGGGGACUGCCCGAUAGAGGUGGAUAACUACAGGAAAAGGUAGCUAAAACCGCAUACUAUCGGCUUAACAAUUUGGGAUUAGCUAGUAGGUGAGGUAAUGGCUCACCUGGGCGACGAUCCCUAGCUGGUCUGAGAGGAUGAUCAGCCACACUGGUACGGAGACACGGCCCAGACUCCUACGGAGGCAGCAGUGGGGAAUAUUGCACAAGGGGCGCAAGCCUGAUGCAGCCAUGCCGCGUGUAUGAAGAAGGCCCUAGGGUUGUAAAGUACUUUUGGCAGAGAAGCGGUAUCUGCAGAAUAAGCACCGGCUAACUACGUGCCAGCAGCCGCGGUAAUAC
rnacentral:rRNA from 1 species